rnacentral:sRNA from 1 species
AGCCCCUUGUGGCUGAGGGCAGGGCUCUUUGCGUUGGUCCAUGGUGUGCUCCUCUGCCCGGGCUCCAGGAACACUCGGAGGAGGUGUCUGGCUUCCUCCUGGAGUGUGAUAGCUCCGUGCAGGGCGCGCUGCAGAAGCACCUCGCGCUGUACAGGAUCCGGCGGAAGGUCACGGUGGAGCCACACCCGGAGCUGCGAGUGUGGGCAGUGUUGCCCAGUUCCCCUGAGGCCUGUGGGGCUGCAUCGCUGCAGGAGAGGGCAGGGGCUGCCACCAUCCUCAUCCGAGACCCGCGAACAGCACGCAUGGGGUGGCGGCUCCUCACCCAGGAUGAAGGCCCAGCCCUGGUGCCCGGGGGCCGGCUCGGGGACCUGUGGGAUUAUCACCAGCACCGAUACCUGCAAGGCGUUCCUGAGGGGGUCCGAGACUUGCCUCCUGGGGUGGCCCUGCCCCUGGAGUCCAACCUGGCCUUCAUGAAUGGCGUGAGCUUCACCAAAGGCUGCUACAUUGGCCAGGAGCUGACGGCCCGCACCCACCACAUGGGCGUCAUCCGCAAGCGCCUCUUCCCUGUCCGGUUCUUGGACCCCCUUCCCACCAGUGGCAUCACCCCCGGUGCCACGGUGCUGACUGCGUCAGGACAGACUGUGGGCAAGUUCAGGGCCGGCCAGGGCAACGUGGGGCUGGCCCUGCUGUGGUCAGAGAAGAUCAAGGGUCCUCUGCACAUCAGAGCAUCUGAGGGUGCUCAGGUGGCCUUAGCCGCAUCUGUGCCAGACUGGUGGCCUACUGUCUCCAAGUAGCCCCAAGCCUUGGCUGGCGCAGGCUGAUGGGGAGGCUUUUGGCCUCUGU